UUUCUGAUGGUCUAACGGUUAGGAAUCCUGACUUUCGCCCAGGCGGCCCGGAUUCAACUCCCGGUGAGGGAA
rnacentral:tRNA from 1 species